UACGUAGGGGGCGAGCGUUGUCCGGAUUUAUUGGGCGUAAAGAGCUCGUAGGCGGUUUGGCAAGUCGGGUGUGAAAACUCCGGGCUCAACUCGGAGACGCCACUCGAUACUGCCAUGACUCGAGUCCGGUAGGGGAGUGCGGAAUUCCUGGUGUAGCGGUGAAAUGCGCAGAUAUCAGGAGGAACACCGGUGGCGAAGGCGGCACUCUGGGCCGGUACUGACGCUGAGGAGCGAAAGCGUGGGGAGCGAACAGGAUUAGAUACCGAGUAGUCC
rnacentral:rRNA from 1 species